rnacentral:miRNA from 1 species
GACCAGUGCGAGGCCUGUGGG